UGAAUUUGGGACGAGUUUUGUGGUGGUGUUGAAGGGAGGUGGUGGUUGAUGGGAAUUUGGUGCUAUCCUACCUGAGCUUUUUCUUCGUAUUUCUAUAUUCGUUCCUACCGUAUUCUUUCAUCUUCUACUACUUAUCGAUCCCUUCCCUU